rnacentral:lncRNA from 1 species
GGGGGGGGGCCACUUGCUAUAUAAUUAGUGGUAGGGAUGAGCCGCUGGAAUAGGUCACUUUUUCAUGCUCUACGAUAUAUGAAAAGGGUUAGAAAUUCAGACGAAAUAUAUCAAUAGGUUGUUAUUAUCACUUGCUUGAUUAUAUCAUAAGUAUCUGAAACUAAUCAGAUGUCCGUAUUUAUUUUUGAUGCGGUUAAACCACAGUCGUAAAUGCAUCAGUUAUUUGUCAAACCAAUUAAACUCUAUUUAUUCUGAUGUGGUAUUUCCACUGAUGCCAGUGAUAGAUGCAAUAAAUCCAACUAUUUUGACAUUUGCACCUAAUUAACAUUCAAGGGUUUGUAUACAUAAAACAUGAUAACAAUUAUUUAAAGAAAUUCCAUUGUGACAGCGUCCUUUAAGAGGGAACGGCAAUGAAACUUU